UCUUGCUGAGCAAGGUCGGAAUGACAGCCGCCUGCUUAAAGUAAACCCAAACUCAGAUUCAGUUUGAUAUUUAUGAUACCUAACCCUUAACCACAAUAUUAAACAUUUGGUCAAACAUUUGUUCUCUAGGCAUAUUAUAGCAAGUCAUUGUUAAGGGUGAUUUAAUUUUAUACAAACACUUAACAUCCUAAAUUGAACAAUUUCCUAGGUUGAGAGAUUUAGAAAGUGACAACCUCUAGGCCUCAGACUGUUCUCUAUAAACGAAACCACCCCAUAAGGUAGUUACUGCUAAUGAAUAAGUGAACCAGUAUAUGUCAAGCAUUCAGAGUAAUGGUAUAAAGGCUUAGCUACUGUACCUACUAUUCCCUGUCCAUAUCCACAUGUUUUAUCAAGUCAUGACCCUGAUCUACUGUUCACCAAGAACAUGAUGGUCCUACAUAUUAGCAACGAACAUGUAUAUAAACUGAAAAUGCCUAUGAAAGGAAAAGAGGGAACCAGAACCAUCAAUAUCUACUCAAGUUUAAAGCACAGUGGUAAAAAUGGAUUAAGGGUAUGAAAUAGAACUCGAGCAUAAGAGUUCAAGAGAGGUGGGGAAAAGUGAUAUAAAAUUAGGCAAGAGUAACCAGUAUGAAGGAGAAUCGAACCAGGACAAUACUGAAGAGAACCCAAACAGAAGGGCUCUAUAUCAAGGAUCCAGUGUGUUUUAAGAGAUCUGCUUUGAAUUGGCCACUAAAGCAGGCUAAUUUCCAGGUUAUAUGAAACAGCCUAGUAGAAACAAACGUGGAGAAGCUGCAUUCAAUGGGGGGAAUUCACUAUGAAGGACACCAAAUAGAGAUAAACCUGGCUUCCUCAAUCUGAAGGGGAUCUCAAAACAUUAACAGUGCAAUUGAUUGUUUGGAGUGCCCAUGGCAUCAUUUCAGGAGUCCUACUUUCAAGUUCAUGUAGGAACUUGUGACAUCGGUUGAUCUGAUAGAUUCCUCACCCCUGUAAGAGGUAUAGGAACCUUUAAAACAUUCUAAAAUACACUCAAUUUCAACAAUUCAUGGGGCUAGGUGGAGGACAGGAAGACAUUCAACAGCUGGCACUUCAGAAAACUUCCAAACUCUUAGGAAUCACUAAUAGAUGGAUCUAUUAAUUCAAAUUGCUAGUAAGUGUCCCCAUAGAACUGUAGGGACACGCCAAUUACCAAGUUACAAAAACUCAGGCAAUACAUUUAGUACCUGAUCAUAAAGAAAAACAAGCCCUGUAAGAUGCAAUUCUAAGCUUUCACGUUUCUAAGCUUCAAACAAAAGCCCUAUGAAUCAUGCUUGUGGUUUUAAAUAUUUGAGGAAACUAUUGCCAGAGUCAUUACCCAUUUACCCAGAUCUUGUAGAUUCUUAGACAAACAUAUUUAAUGGUUUUCAUCUGUUAGUGUCACCUGACUGAGGUGACUAACUGGGUGUCUGACAGCUGGAGUAGAGAUUACAUUUCUUUCAGCCUGAAGUGUUGAGUCAAACAGAUACCAGUCAGUUCCCCAUGCCUAGGUCCUUUGUCUACUGCCAGGUUUGGGCAUUUACCUCCAGAAUGGUUCUGUUUCAAUAGGCAAGGGAAGUUACCUAAGAGUACAUGUGCAAGAAUUGCCUACAUCAACAAGUCACAUAUCUUUGGCCCGUCUCUUGGAUUUUCUUUCCCCAGAGUAAUCAUGUUACAUUAACUCAAGACCACAAUUGGCAUUUGCAGACUCACCUUACACAAAUGUUUUUAUUGCUGGAGUAGCGGCCAAAGCUUGGCUUGGGAAAAACAGUGGAAGUCUGUCAAGACUGGGAUGAGGGGACCACUAUUUUUGAGUUGAGCUUUUCCAAAUAACUUCUGAAAGAACAGACAAAGCAGGUGCCGCCUGUAAGAACAGCAACUUCUUAGAGGUUAACACAAUUCGACAAGGCAUCAGUCACACAAGAAACAAUCCAGCAUCAUAGAGUAGCAGAGUGAAGAGAAAGCACCUAGGCAUCCAAGUAAAAUGGAGUUAACCCUGUGUGACAAGGUAAAUGGGAUCCCACUUCUCAGAUACAUAAUGGGGUAACAAACACUUCUUACAGGCUGGAGAUCUAGUUCUUAACUAAGGAUGAUAUUCAAGUUAUUUAGCAGCCAAAUCAGUCAUGUUGUAGGAGUAGUAGUAAUAGGGCCACCAACUUAUGUAGCAUAAGUUACUCAAUAACACUUUAAUAGGUCCAAAUCCUUCAAUGAGUUUUAUAGUGUAGCUACUAGUAGUUCAGUAACGCUCCUACUUAGCUAGGAUUUAGGAAAGGACGCUAUUACCUGCAGAUGACUUCUCCAUUGGCCUAAUGAUCAUUAGGCCUCUAAAGAUUUGUUGCAGCUGGAGGGUGGCUGGGCAUUCAGCACACAAGAUGUGACAAGGUACAUAGCUGCAUGCAAUCAACCUGAGGUCACCUGAAAAUGCCAGUAGCGUGCCCCUGCAAUGCUGGGAAGUUCCUGAGAAUCAGGCAGAUGCUGCGCAUGCCCACUCAACGACCCCGAAUCUCUCACUCGUGGCCACCUGGACCAUCAAACAUCUGUACUGACGCAGCUCCUGGGCUCCCAUUCUCCAACCUGGGGACUGCUGCUGGCCGUCAUCAGUGGGGGAUUUGCCAUUUUGACAAGUAGAUAGCUUUUACCAAUGAUUGCCUUAAUUAACACAGAGCAUACUGACUGCUUCUAUAGCUGCUCAAACAUCUCACAGCCCACAAACAGCUUUGCAUUGUAUAUUUUAUUGUCACACCACCCCAAAUGACAGACAGCCAAUUUGCUCAUGUUUCAGCCUCCUAUAAGGGAGAGCAUAAUAAUGUCAGAAUCCAGAUUGUUACAUCUACCACCACCAUCCACAAUAGCAAGACCUCUCAAAGUACCCUCAGUUAUUUCUGGGCCUCAGGCUCAUGAAAAGUUGGCUCCAGUUCUGCUUUGGCCUUAUUUCUGUCAAGUGCCCAAAAGCCUAAGGGAAGUGCUACUGGUUUAACAGCUUCCAACCUUCCAGAUAUGCUAAAGGGAUCUGCAUUUCUCUCCGUGUCACAUUUCAUUCUCACCAUGUGAGAAGCAAACUAUGGUUCUUGAACAAAUGGGGCUAUCGCUUCGCUUCCUUACUACAUCAGUCACCUUGGCCUCACAGCAGCCCAGCUUGACCCUGGGGCUCAAUCUCAUGCCCUUCAGCCUCACCACAGUUCUGAUGCAGGUCUGAGGAACAGACACCUUUUUCUUCUCCAGUUCCCAAAAGCUUCCCCUUAGCAGUUAGAUGCGUCCAGUGAAUACAGACACCUGGGGAAGACCAGCCCAGCUGUUCUAAAUUCCAACCCAGGCUGAGUCAGUUUACUAGAAAGAAGAGUUUAGUAAGGAGUGUCGUGAAGAAGAUUCCCCCCUACUCUCGAAAUUUAGUUCAGUUUGAUGUGUAUUUACACUGGUCCUUAUUCAGGCACAAUAUCAUUUCAGGUCCUAAUAAACCACCUUUUUGCUGUAUACUCCUGUUGGCUUAUAAGAAGUCUCCUUAACAUGGCACAUCACUGAAAAGCACACUGAGCCUAAUUUGAGUGUAACUCAGCAGUAAGAGGCAGGGUCCCUCCAACCACGAAGAGACUCUAACGUGUUUUCUUUGCCUGAUAAUCCAUUGAGGUAUUUCAUCGAUUUGAAAGUGAAGUUGUAGACAGAGGUUCACUUUUCAUUUGUUUUCCUUGGUUUUCAUAGUGUUUGAUAAAGUUACAUAAAACAAAGUGCUAGUAGACAAGCUAUACCAUGCACUAUAAUAUCUUAGAAUUCACACCUAAAUUUAACCAAGUUCUUGGUUGACAGAAUCAAGUCACUAGUACACCAGCUUUUGGAAUUUCUGGAAGCAGAAAAAUUUUCCUAUCAAUAAAGAUACACAAUUACAG
ensembl:lncRNA